AACUGAAAUGAAUCUGUCCUACGCGUUUCGAGGUCCAUUCGUCGCCCCAACACUGAAAGUGCUCCUGGAAUUAAUCUGCAAACCUUCCUCAGAACAUCGUGAUGAGUUGCCACAACAUCACCCUAAAGUGUGUCGGACCAGGGACACAUUUAAAAGUUGCAAGACAC